CAGUCGCCGCGGUAAUACGUAGGUGGCAAGCGUUGUCCGGAAUUAUUGGGCGUAAAGGGCUCGCAGGCGGUUUCUUAAGUCUGAUGUGAGAGCCCCCGGCUCAACCGGGGAGGGUCAUUGGAAACUGGGAAACUUGAGUGCAGAAGAGGAGAGUGGAAUUCCACGUGUAGCGGUGAAAUGCGUAGAGAUGUGGAGGAACACCAGUGGCGAAGGCGACUCUCUGGUCUGUAACUGACGCUGAGGAGCGAAAGCGUGGGGAGCGAACAGGAUUAGAUACCCCCGUAGUCCCUGUCUCUUAUAC
rnacentral:rRNA from 1 species